rnacentral:rRNA from 1 species
UACGUAGGGUGCAAGCGUUGUCCGGAAUUAUUGGGCGUAAAGAGCUCGUAGGCGGUUUGUUGCGUCGGCUGUGAAAUCCCGAGGCUCAACCUCGGGUCUGCAGUCGAUACGAGCAAACUAGAGUGUUGCAGGGGAGACUGGAAUUCCAGGUGUAGCGGUGAAAUGCGCAGAUAUCAGGAAGAACACCCGUGGCUAAGGCGGCUCUCUAGUACGGUACUGACGCUGAGACGCGAAAGCGUGGGGAGCGAACAGG